GUCGAGAAUCUUUCACAAUGGGGGCAACCCUGAUGGAGCGACGCCGCGUGGAGGAUAAGGUCUUCGGAUUGUAAACUCCUGUCAUGCGUGAACAAGGUUGCUUGGAUAAUACCUGAGCAAAUUGAUGGUAGCGCAAGAGGAAGAGACGGCUAACUCUGUGCCAGCAGCCGCGGUAAUACAGAGGUCUCAAGCGUUGUUCGGAAUCACUGGGCGUAAAGGGUGCGUAGGUGGCGUGGCAAGUCAGAUGUGAAAGCCCGGGGCUCAACCUCGGAACUGCAUCCGAUACUGCCAUGCUAGAGUACUGGAGGGGUGACUAGAAUUCUCGGUGUAGCAGUGAAAUGCGUAGAUAUCGAGAGGAAUACCAAAGGCGUAGGCAGGUCACUGGACAGUUACUGACACUGAGGCACGAAGGCCAGGGGAGCGAACGGGAUUAGAAACCCCGGUAGUCC
rnacentral:rRNA from 1 species